CCUACGGGUGGCAGCAGUGGGGGAUAUUGCACAAUGGGGGAAACCCUGAUGCAGCGACGCCGCGUGAGUGAAGAAGUAUUUCGGUAUGUAAAGCUCUAUCAGCAGGGAAGAAAAAAGACGGUACCUGACUAAGAAGCCCCGGCUAACUACGUGACAGAAGCCGCGGUAAUACGUAGGGGGCAAGCGUUAUCCGGAUUUACUGGGUGUAAAGGGAGCGUAGACGGCAAUACAAGUCGGAAGUGAAAUAGCCGGGCUCAACCUGGGAACUGCUUUGGAAACUGUAUGGCUAGAGUGCUGGAGAGGUAAGCGGAAUUCCUAGUGUAGCGGUGAAAUGCGUAGAUAUUAGGAGGAACACCAGUUGCGAAGGCGGCUUACUGGACAGUAACUGACGUUGAGGCUCGAAAGCGUGGGGAGCAAACAGGAUUAGAUACCCCUGUAGUC
rnacentral:rRNA from 1 species